rnacentral:rRNA from 1 species
GACGAACGCUGGCGGCGUGCUUAACACAUGCAAGUCGAGCGGUAAGGCCCUUUCGGGGGUACACGAGCGGCGAACGGGUGAGUAACACGUGGGUGACCUGCCCUCAGCUCUGGGAUAAGCCUGGGAAACCGGGUCUAAUACUGGAUAUGACUCCAUGACGCAUGUUGUGGGGUGGAAAGCCUUGUGCGGCUGAGGAUGGGCCCGCGGCCUAUCAGCUUGUUGGUGGGGUGANGGCCCACCAAGGCGACGACGGGUAGCCGGCCUGAGAGGGCGACCGGCCACACUGGGACUGAGACACGGCCCAGACUCCUACGGGAGGCAGCAGUGGGGAACCUUGCGCAAUGGGCGAAAGCCUGACGCAGCGACGCCGCGUGAGGGAUGACGGCCUCGG